rnacentral:rRNA from 1 species
UACGUAGGGGGCGAGCGUUGUCCGGCUUUAUUGGGCGUAAAGAGCGUGUAGGCGGCCAUACAGGUCAGCUGUGAAAACUCGAGGCUCAACCUCGAGACGUCGGUUGAAACCGUAUGGCUAGAGUCCGGAAGAGGAGAGUGGAAUUCCCGGUGUAGCGGUGAAAUGCGCAGAUAUCGGGAAGAACACCCGUGGCGAAGGCGGCUCUCUGGGACGGUACUGACGCUGAGACCCGAAAGCAUGGGGAUCAAACAGG